AUUUUUUACUCGGUGUAUGUGUAUAUGUAUGUAUAUUACUUCAAAAGUUCCCGCAAGCCCAUAUGUGAAAAAAAAAAAUUUUUUACGGAAAUCGACGGAAAGGUCUACUAGAGACGAAAGAUCGCCGCAAGACGCCAUGCAGCGAGAUGGAAUUCGGGAUCUCGUGAUUGCGAAAGGAAGUUCUUAAACCAUUCGACCACGUUGCGUCCAUAGCAACAAAGAACCGCUUUGUAUUUUCUACGAUCCAGUUUGACAUUAUUAUUAUCCUGUUGCUCCUGGCUAUUUCUGAUGGCGCAGAUCAAUAAUCUAAAUAUAUACCCAUAGGCUUAAACUGUCGGUCGAACAACUCACAAGGCGAUCCACAGAUCCAGUGCCCCAUAUAAUCAGUAUCAUUGUCUAGAUUGAGAACUACGCUGUUCUGUUCCCCAUAGCAGUGUUUGGUAUACUUCAUUUGAUGGUAUAAAAGAAUCUUGGACAGGUAAGAUGCACUACAAGUUCAGCGUGCAUACUCAGGAAAAAAGUUGUUAUGCAUUAAAACGUGUGGGAGGCCCCAACUUAACAUUUAGGGCCUGGUGAGAUUUCUUCUAUUUAUUUAUUUAUUUAUUUAUUUAUUUAUUUUGAAAGAUAUAUCUGGGGAGAAAAAUUGUGUCUUUGACGGGCUUCCUUCCGCAUUAUUUCCGUCCACCCGGUUGUUCACUCACAAGGCUUGGGUCGACACUUGUGACUUGCGCAAGACGCCAUGCAGCGAGAUGGAAUUCGGGAUCUCGUGAUUACGAAAGGAAGUUCUUAAACUAUUCGACCACGUUGCGUCCAUAGCAACAAAGAACCGCUACAAAUAUUGUAGAGAAAGAAAGUGGAGAAAGAAAGAGGAUAAGAGUGACAACAGAUUUAACGAAUAUUAUCUGGAAAAUAAAACUCUGAAAUGGUCUUUCGUGGGACAUGUGUUCAGAAGAUGAGAGAAUGGAUGGAAUAACAAAUCGACAAAGUGGACACCACAUCAUUUGACGGGUCACUUUGAAGUACACUUUUGCCAUUGUGGGUAAUAUCAGGAAAUAUGGCAUUCAUACAAUAAUUAUAAUUUUAAUUUUGUCAAGUUUUUUGGUGCCCGUGUGUCCAAAAAGAAAGGUCUUCAACCAGUGCGUGGGCUACCAACAAGAGCAUUGAAAAUAAAUUAAGAGCAAUACAAAGAGCCUUGGAAAGUAGAAUGCUGAGGAUUAACAAAAUGGAUAAGUGGAGAAAGAAAGAGGAUAAGAGUGACAACAGAUUUAACGAAUAUUAUCUGGAAAAUAAAACUUUGAAAUGGUCUUUCGUGGGACAUGUGUUCAGAAGAUGAGAGAAUGGAUGGAAUAACAAAUCGACAAAGUGGACACCACGUCCAGAAAAAAUGAGGGGAAGACUAGGCAGAAAAUGGAAUGAAGACUUCCUUAAAUUUUUCGGCAUCCAAGCAUGGAUGGAGAAAACAUCAGACCGUGGUUGAUGGAGAGAACAUGCUGAGGUCUUCGUCCAACAGUAGGCUGGACAUGUGCAAAAGAUGAUGAUACAAAAUGAAAUGAAUUGCUCUUUACUCUUUUACUUGUUUCAAUCAUUUGACUGCGGCCAUGCUGGAGCACCGCCUUUAAUCGAGCAACUCGACACCGGGACUUAUUCUUUUAUAAGCCCAGUACUUAUUCCAUCGGUCUCUUUUGCCGAACCGCUAAGUAACGGGGACAUAAACACACCAGCAUCGGUUGUCAAGCAAUGCUAGGGGGACAAACACACUAACACAAACACACACACACAUAUAUAUGUAUAUAUACAUAUAUACGACGAGCUUCUUUCAGUUUCCGUCUACCAAAUCCACUCACAAGGCUUUGGUCGGCCCGAGGCUAUAAUAGAAGACACUUGCCCAAGGUGCCACGCAGUGGGACUGAACCCGGAACCAUGUGGCUGGUAAACAAGCUACUUACCACACAGCCACUCCUGCGCCUAUUGUAAUUUUCAAACGAAAAAUAUUUGUCUUAAAAUGAAAUUUAAAAAAAACUGUUGUCAACAUCAGGAAAUAUAGCAUACAUACAUUAAAAUUAUAAUUCAACUUUUAUCAAAUUUCCUGGAGCUUACACAAAAUAAUGAAAUGAAUACAAGUUUUCGAUAGAAAAAUGAUUAUUACCUUAGAAUAAAAUUAAACAAGACAAAUUUCUCAUUUGUAUAACUUCUCCCUUAAUUACUGCCGUUUACUUCCUCUAUCUCCUUUUCUUCCUCAGUCAUUAUAAUUCUUUCUCUCUCACUAUGUGUGUGUAACGUUCCUUUACUCAGUGCCCGCCACCAAACCUAAUAUAUGCACUAAUACUGCACCUCUUAUGCUAACUCUCCCUCCCUCUCCCACUCACUCUCUCAUUCUCUAUAUAAUGUAAAGCAUGACUGAAGAAAUCAGCUCACCAACAUUUAUGUCAGUUACGAGCAAAACGCACCCCCCCCUCCCGUCCAAUGGACGGUGCUGAGUUGUCAAACAUUUAAACCAAAUUUUCUCAAAACAACUUGUCCGACCGUCCCAUAGGCCUCCCCUUUGAGAAACACUGAUUUAACCUAAAUUUGAGACACCAGCAAAAGAAGAAAUAAAGAUAGACUUUUCUCUAUUCCAAAGAAAAACGAUUUUAUUCACACAAAUAUGCAAAAAACUAUAUACUGCAUUUUGUGGCAUUAUUUCAAGCCAGCCAGCUUUUUUUGCACAAACUGCACGUGCAUUUUUCUCGCGUACGCGUAGUAUCGAUCGCAACAGCUGAUGUACUUGCGCGUACAAAUGCACGUUCCCACGGCUUUAUCGAUCGCAUUCUCACCUGGAAUCGAUCUUUGUAAUUUUUUCAAGACUUAUGCACGCCCUGAUACCGUCGGUAUCUACAUAUAAAAUUUGAGCGCAAUCGGAUGGAGGAUGCCCGAGAUCCUAGAAGACACACACACACACACACACACAGAACGGAUUUUAUAUAAUAGAUUACUAAAUGAAGAUUUUUAAGGCGGCAAGUUAGAAUUGUUAGCACGCCGGACAAAAUGUUUAACAGUAUUUCGUCCGUCUGUACUUCUGAGUUCAAUUUCCGCCGAGGUCGACUUUGCCUUUUGUCCAUUCGGGUCGACAAAAUAAGCAGCAGUUGGACACUGGGAUUGAUAUAAUCGGCUUACCGCCUCCCCCGAAAUUGCUGGUUUUGUUCCAAAAUAUGAAACCAUUAUUACAUUUUACAAAUGUUCAGGCGUUGUGCCUAUAGUAGAAAGGAUUAUUAUACAAAGAUUUAGUGUAAAGUCAGGGCUCGGUAACAAUCGAACGACAACCCCUAAAUGGGCCUUUGAGGUGUGGGUCCUCAGUGGGUUUCGAACUUUUUCUAAAAAAUGUGUUCCAUUGAUUGUGUGUGCGUGUGUGUUACAAUUUGUUUAAUUUUUGCCACGAUAAACAUUACCAGUGAUAAUCAAAGGCGUGCCUUCAGUGAGCAUUUCAUCUGUUUUAUUUCUUCUUUUUUUUAAACAGUGGAAAUACAGUGUCAUAUUCUCAAUAACUAGAAAGCUGGUUAAUCUCCUGUCUGAUGAGAUCAAGAGCUUACGACAGACCUAAGUCUACACAGACAGACCUAUUCGCUAUUAAUUCAAUUAAAAGCAGGAGUGUAAAAUAGGACAGAUGAUGCUGUAGCUGGGACGAGGGCCCAGAUCAGUGUUUCUAAACCAGUUUUUCACAUGCCCAACUUCGAUUUUCACACAUAAAAAACUGUACCCCCACCAUGAAUCGGGCAAAGUAUACAGCAUAUAUGUAUGAGAGCGCGCGUGAAUUCGUUUCUGUGCUAUCUCUUACAACCCUUCAUCAUAUAAACUCUUUAUUGACUUUGUAUUCUCUAGUAACAUAGCUAUAUGGGACGAUAGGGACGGUCCGCCACGGGCAACACUUUUGGUUGGGGUAGUGACAUUUUGGGGUCUGCUGUAUAAGCUGUAUAGAGGUGGGUAGCAAGGAAGGCAAAUUCAAGGGCUGUCCCAGGCAGCACUCACUCUAGCUGCGAUACUGGUAUUCUCCUUUCUCAGGUCAGGUCCGCGAUGUCAUUAAUACCAGUUGGAACUAUUUCUUCGUAAAAUUCCAAGACGUCUACAUGCUUUUGGUUAUAGGGUCGCAAUUUAUCCCAAACUCUGUUCAUGCAGCUCUCAGGGAUUUCAUUCCAACCUGCUUUGAUAUUUCACAGCAUGGUAGUUCCUGUUAUUUCAUUUACCUUGGCCAUCUGUUUCUUUAACAAACUGUUUAAAAUUGCAAUGAAAGUAGAAGGCCAUGAUAUUAGACAUUACACUCUGAUUCCUGCGUUGGUGCAGAAAGCGGUGGUUCAUGGUUGGUAGAUUGCUUCGAAAAAAAAAAUACAAGUCCUAAGAAUAUAGUAAUUAUAAUGCUGACCUGGAACAUUGUCAGUCACCAAAACUGCCAUACGUUUAAGAUUAUGUUCUUCGCAAUAUCGUUUCACUGCUGGACAAAAGUACGAGCCAAUAUGUUGUCAUUUUUUAUUGUCACUUAGGACAUUUUACUUAAUUUCCAGAUGACAAGUAACAGCAUUUUUGAUGUUCCUUUCAUCGGUUGUGUUGUUUCUGAAUAAUAGACAAUCAUUGACUUCAGUUCGAAGUCUUUCGAAGUAUUAUCAUCAAGUAGCAGUGCUAAAAAAAGAUACUUUUGGUCUUCUCGGUAUAUGGAAAUAUGGGAUUGCUUUUCCAGAGAAGACCUAUUUCAUCUACAUUGAAUACAAGUUGGGAAGGGCAUUUUUCACACUUGAUGAUACUCUUCAAGUUAGCUGUGAUGUCAUACUAAUUCACGUUAUGUCCGUUACCAGCAGGUUCGUCAUCCCUGUAAGGUCCUAUGUUGGAUUUAGCUCUACUUGUUUGUUUUGUUUUUGUUUUGUUCUUUCUGAGGUAUUCUUUUUUUUUAUGUACGAUGUAUAAUCCUAAAUCUCUAUUCGUAGUUACUCAUGAAUACCAGGACAAGAGCAACAAACAAGGCUAUAGAGGUGCCUGACAUGCCGUAACAUGAAUGGUCAUGGGAUGGAGUCAGAAAGAUACUAUUACAGUACUUUUAAGGAAUUUGGAUAAAAAUUACAAAUCUGAAGGCAGUAUAUUUCCUAGAAGCAAUACAAAAUCUGAACAUUGUCAAUCACUAUCUCUACUAUCACAAAUCUUUAAAUCCAAUUAAAAGAAUCUUGGAACAACACAAACAAACCACCCCCAAAAAGCUGCAGAAAGGCAACUAGGUGUUUUUCAUUGGAAAAUGUUAGACAAAAGUAAUGAUAUACAGAGCAUACGUAGAACUAAUAACUUGUGCAGUAAAAACUUACCAUGGGUCAACCGAGAAUAAUUUAAAGCUAAAUACGCACAACACGCGAAUUCCUUUAAAUAAAGAAUUAGGAGUAAUGUUACAGCCCUUUCAAAAUAUAUUUAGUUCUUAAAAGAGAGGAAACGGGAAAGCAACUCUAGCAUAAAAUGAAAUAUUGUAGCAAAGGCAAAAUAAUUCAACUGCUGCAGUAGUCACUAUCAACUAUGUGCAAGAUUUUGACUCUGUACGGCUACAUCAUGAACCAGAAGGAAGAAAACAUUUUGCUCACAUCGUCCUGCAAAGAAAUACAAGCUUUAAGCCUUUAAAUUUAUUUUUGUACCAUUGGAUUUAGGACAGCAAACUGGCUGAACGUUCAGCUAACUCAUGGGAUGACAAGAAAUCAGUCACGUAAAAUCAUACUGAGAUUUAAACAAAAUUUUGUUCCCCAAAUAACAAGUCAAAUAAAAUCAUCUAAACUAAAAUGUGUUCUUACGUGCACGAUAUGACACAAAGGGUAGCAACUCACCGAGAACACUAAGCUAAAAUUUAAUCCAGACAUUGAAUUUUGCCUGACAUCAAGUCGGGCACAGUAGUCUCCCCUUAAGAAUCUUCUCUUUGUCAGAAAUUACUGCCACUCACGUGCUCUUUCUUAGCCAAGAUUAAAGUCAGAUAUCAUUGAAUAUUCUCUCAAUCAGUAUUUUAUGAUAAACUAGCAGUAUCUCCCGGCGUUGCUCGGGUUUGUAAGGGAAAUAACUAUAUAAGCGUUUUUAGAGAGCUAUAGCCAAAAUAUAGCAAAAAAAGGCAUUCAAAAUGGAAAAAAAAUUAUGGUAAAUUUUUUUUUAAAUCGUUGACUCAUCGUAGACAUUUUUAGAGAGUUGCUUCCCUUAUAUAAUAGCGAAAAAAUGCAUUAAAAUGGAAAAAAAAUUAUGGUAAAUUUUUUUUUAAAUCGUACACUCAUCGUAGACGCGCACUAAUACCCAGAAGGGCUCGAUAUAAAUCACGACUAUAAGAUACCCGCUUUUGGUUAAACUGCACCGCAAAAUGUGGGAGUAGUUAGGAAUCUAAAUCGUAGGAGACAGACACACAACUUCACUUUUAUAUAUAAAGAUAACUCGUUGGUGACUUGAAUCUUAUUGAAACUGAAUCAGUGAUUUAAAAUAUUUAGGAGUAGAGACUUACAUGUUCUUCAAGGUUCUAAUCUAGAAUUACACAGUGUAACACGAUUUUUGUCCUUGGGUAGCAACUGUUAUUUCUUAUUUGCUUACUCCUAGAAAUUAUGAAAAAUGGGUAAUAUUUCCUUCAAACUUUGCUUAAGUUACAUUUAUUCAAACCCCUAAGAAUCCCUCUCAACACAUCGCUAUAAUUUAAUUCUUUAUUGCCCACAAGGGGCUAAAUAUAGAGGAGACAAACAAGGACACACAAAGGGACUAAAUCCAUUACAGCGAUCCCAGUGCAUAAAUGGUACUUAUUUAAUCGACCCCGAAAGGAUGAAAGGCAAAAAUUCGACCUCGGCAGAAUUAGAACUCAGAACAUAGCAGCAGACAAAAUACCGCUAAGCAUUCCGCCUGACGUGCUAACGAUUCUGCCAGCUCGCCACCUUCACUAUAAUGCUCCCCCACUACUGCUCAUGAUCAGAGAUGCACAUGUUGUCAAUAAAUUAAGGGACAUGCUCAAGUGAUUAUGGCCAAGCAACUGACAAGCAGAUCUGUGGUACUGAGCAGAAAAUUUGAAUAUGUCAAAAAUGUAAUGGAAAAUAGGUCAGUUUCAAAACAUUGAUGACCAGGCCAAAGAAGCAAAGUUUGAAGGGAAUAGUAGUCAUUUUAUUAGAUUUCUAGAUAGAAGCAAAUAGGAAAUAAUACUUACUGACCAAAGACAAGAAGAAAUUUGUUACACAGUGUUGUAUAAGGGAGAAAUGAAAAUAUUUGCUUACAUAGAAUAAUCAUUUUGAUCUCUAAGAAAUUACUUAGUACCCAAAUACCUUAUUCUUUCAUUCACAUAUGCAUUCGUGCAUAAAACUAUAAACCAUUAAAGAUGCUAUAAGAAGUAGAUAAAGGCAUACAUAUGUAAACACAGACAUAAGUAACAACAAGCAGCACCACAUAUGCACAAACAAACACACACAUGCACAUGCUCACAUAUGCAUGCAUGCAAACAUGCACACACACACACACAUUUUAUAUAUAUAUAUAUAUAUAUAUAUAUAU
rnacentral:lncRNA from 1 species